AUUGAACGCUGGCGGCAGGCCUAACACAUGCAAGUCGAACGGUAGCACAGAGAGCUUGCUCUCGGGUGACGAGUGGCGGACGGGUGAGUAACGUCUGGGAAACUGCCCGAUGGAGGGGGAUAACUACUGGAAACGGUAGCUAAUACCGCAUAACGUCGCAAAACCAAAGUGGGGGACCUUCGGGCCUCACACCAUCGGAUGUGCCCAGAUGGGAUUAGCUAGUAGGUGGGGUAAUGGCUCACCUAGGCGACAAUCCCUAGCUGGUCUGAGAGGAUGACCAGCCACACUGGAACUGAGACACGGUCCAGACGCCGACGGGAGGCAGCAGUGGGGAAUAUUGCACAAUGGGCGCAAGCCUGAUGCAGCCAUGCCGCGUGUAUGAAGAAGGCCUUCGGGUUGUAAAGUACUUUCAGCGGGGAGGAAGGCGGUGAAGUUAAUAACUUCACCGAUUGACGUUACCCAAAGAAUAAGCACCGGCUAACUCUGUGCCAGCAGCCGCCGCAG
rnacentral:rRNA from 1 species